rnacentral:rRNA from 1 species
AUUGAACGCUGGCGGCAGGCCUAACACAUGCAAGUUGAGCGGUAGCACAGGGAGCUUGCUCCUGGGUGACGAGCGGCGGACGGGUGAGUAAUGUCUGGGAAACUGCCUGAUGGAGGGGGAUAACUACUGGAAACGGUAGCUAAUACCGCAUAACGUCGCAAGACCAAAGAGGGGGACCUUCGGGCCUCUUGCCAUCAGAUGUGCCCAGAUGGGAUUAGGUAGUAGGUGGGGUAACGGCUCACCUAGGCGACGAUCCCUAGCUGGUCUGAGAGGAUGACCGGCCCCACUGUAACUGAGACACGGUCCAGACUCCUACGGGAGGCAGCAGUGGGGAAUAUUGCACAAUGGGCGCAAGCCUGAUGCAGCCAUGCCGCGUGUAUGAAGAAGGCCUUCGGGUUGUAAAGUACUUUCAGCGGGGAGGAAGGUGUUGAGGUUAAUAACCUCAGCAAUUGACGUUACCCGCAGAGGAAGCACCGGCUAACUCCGUGCCAGCAGCCGCCGUAAUAC